rnacentral:rRNA from 1 species
AACGAACGUUGGCGGCAUGGAUUAGGCAUGCAAGUCGAGCGAGAAGUGUAGCAAUACACGGAAAGCGGCGGAAGGGAGAGUAAUACGUGGGAAUCUGCCCUUAGACCUGGGAUAGCAGCGGGAAACUGCUGGUAAUACCAGAUAAUGUCUAUGGACCAAAGGUGUGAUUCCGUCUAGGGAUGAGCCCACGUGCCUAUUAGCUAGUUGGUAGGGUAAUGGCCUACCAAGGCGAUGAUGGGUAGCGGGUGUGAGAGCAUGACCCGCCUCACUGGGGCUGGGACACUGCCCAGACACCUACGGGUGGCUGCAGUCGAGAAUCUUCGGCAAUGGGCGCAAGCCUGACCGAGCGAUGCCGCGUGCGGGAUGAAGGCCUUCGGGUUGUAAACCGCUGUCGAGGGGGAGCAACUUCCAUAGAGUUAUCUUUAUGGAUUGAGUGAUCCCUGGAGGAAGGACGGGCUAAGUUCGUGCCAGCAGCCGCCGUAAAAC